rnacentral:rRNA from 1 species
GAGUUUGAUCUUGGCUCAGAGUGAACGCUGGCGGCAGGCCUAACACAUGCAAGUCGAGCGGCAGCGCGGGGGCAACCCUGGCGGCGAGCGGCGGACGGGUGAGGAAUGCAUCGGAAUCUACCUCGUUGUGGGGGAUAACCUCGGGAAACCGGGACUAAUACCGCAUACGACCUACGGGUGAAAGUGGGGGACCGCAAGGCCUCACGCGAUGAGAUGAGCCGAUGCCGGAUUAGCUAGUUGGCGGGUAAAGCCCACCAAGGCGACGAUCCGUAGCUGGUCUGAGAGGAUGAUCAGCCACACUGGAACUGAGACACGGUCCAGACUCCUACGGGAGGCAGCAGUGGGGAAUAUUGGACAAUGGGCGCAAGCCUGAUCCAGCCAUGCCGCGUGCGUGAAGAAGGCCUCGGUU